UACGUAGGGGGCAAGCGUUGUCCGGAUUUAUUGGGCGUAAAGAGCGUGUAGGCGGCUAUACAGGUCCGCUGUGAAAACUCGAGGCUCAACCUCGAGACGUCGGUGGAAACCGUAUGGCUAGAGUCCGGAAGAGGAGAGUGGAAUUCCUGGUGUAGCGGUGAAAUGCGCAGAUAUCGGGAGGAACACCAGUGGCGAAGGCGGCUUCCUGGCCUGUUCUUGACGCUGAGGCGCGAAAGCUAGGGGAGCAAACGGG
rnacentral:rRNA from 1 species